rnacentral:rRNA from 1 species
AUACAGAGACCUCAAGCGUUAUCCGGAUUUAUUGGGCGUAAAGGGUUCGUAGGUGGUUUUGUAAGUCAUUCGUUAAAUCUUCAGGCUCAACCUGGAGGCAGCGGGUGAUACUGCAAGACUAGAGGAUGGGAGAGGCAGACGGAAUUGUUGGUGUAGCGGUAAAAUGCGUUAAUAUCAACAAGAACACCAAAGGCGAAGGCAGUCUGCUGGAACAUUCCUGACACUGAGGAACGAAAGCGUGGGUAGCGAAUGGGAUUAGAUACCCCAGUAGUCCACGCCGUAAACGAUGAGUGCUAGGUUUCGGGAGUUUCGACCCUCUCGGAGCCGGUUAACCAAGCUAACGCGUUAAGCACUCCGCCUGGGUAGUACGAGCGCAAGCUUAAAACCUAAGGAAUAGACGGGACCUGCACAAGCGGUGGAGCGUGCGGUUUAAUUCGAUACUAAGCGAGGAACCUUACCUGGG